GCGCCCGUAGCUCAGUUGGAUAGAGCGGUGGACUCCGGAUCCACAGGCCACAGGUUCGAAUCCUGCCGGGCGCACCA
rnacentral:tRNA from 1 species